CCAAAAGCUACAACCGGAGUUUCCCGG
rnacentral:piRNA from 1 species